UACGAAGGGGGCUAGCGUUGUUCGGAAUCACUGGGCGUAAAGGGUGCGUAGGCGGGUCUUUAAGUCAGGGGUGAAAUCCUGGAGCUCAACUCCAGAACUGCCUUUGAUACUGAAGAUCUUGAGUUCGGGAGAGGUGAGUGGAACUGCGAGUGUAGAGGUGAAAUUCGUAGAUAUUCGCAAGAACACCAGUGGCGAAGGCGGCUCACUGGCCCGAUACUGACGCUGAGGCGCGAAAGCGUGGGGAGCAAACAGG
rnacentral:rRNA from 1 species